GAAGGAAAAGAUUACAAAAAAAUGAAAAUCGUUAGCUUUGCAGUGUUUGCUUACUGUAGCGGGUGCUGCUCGCUCUAGUUACUGAGCGCGGUUCACAGGCGCUGCUGUGUUGAUCUUGUGAAGGUGAUCAAGUGAUCUGUUCCCUACUGUUCAUUCACUGCAUCAUCAGACCUGAGAGAAGAGGCUGCGGAGACGGCUGUGUGCCCGGAUUGAUAACAGAAGUGUACUCAAGAAGUGCGCUGUGAUCGAUGGGCUUGCUCUGUCUCCAGUCUAUCAACAGGCUGCUGUUCGUACACGUUUGGCUGCAAGUCUGUGAUGCAGUUACAGUGCCCCGGCCUCCAGUGACGUCACCUCUCGGCAGUGAUGUCACUCUCAGCUGGUCUUUCUCCUAUAAAGAGGGGGCUGAUCUCAGCGGAUUGGUGGUUACCUGGCAACGCCCUCCUGUCGAUCAUGUGGUCCACAGUUUCUAUUACGGUCGAGACCAGCUGGAUCUGCAGAAUGAAGCCUACAGGAAUCGGACCCAGCUGUUCCCAGAGCAGCUCAGUGUGGGGAAUGCCUCCCUCAGACUGAAACAGGUGCGGGGGGAGGAUGAGGGCCGGUACACCUGCGCUGUCGCCAACCAAGUGGAGAGCACCAGGGGAGACGUGCAGCUCCUAGUGGCAGGUCAGUGUCAUCGGGGAGACGUGCAGCUCCUAGUGGCAGCUGAAUUCGUCGAGCCUCAGCUGGUCGUUACUGACAGUCCGGACAGCCCCGACCAGGCUCUCCUGAGCUGCAUCUCGAGAGGAUACCCCAGCGCUUCAGUGCAGUGGCUCAAUGAGACCGGCUGUGACAUCACAGAGAGCAGCAAGACUAGCCAAUCGCUGGACAAUAAGGGGAAAAAUAUUAUAAUAUUUAUAUAAUAACAACGUUAUAGGAGACAGCCAGCAUGGCUUUAGGAAGAGUAGACCUUGUUUAUAUUUAUUAGAUUUCUUUCAGGGGAUGAGUCUAAAGUCAACUUGACAGGCUAUAGAGCAGAGACAGUUGAAUUCAAAUCUAGAGAAGUUAUAUUAAAAUGAUAUAAUGUGCUGGCAUGACCACACCUAGAAUACUGUGUACAGUUUAGGUCCCCGUAUCAUAAGAAAGACAUUGAGGCACUGGAGAGAGUACAGGGGAGAGCGGCCCGAUUAACGAUGAAGUGCUAUCGGACCACGCUGGCACCGAAGCCUUUUCCCGUUCUGGAAUGUCUCAUGUUCUUAUGACUCCUUCCUUUCGCUCUCCACCCCGAGCUUCAACACCUCAACCAGGCAACUGUUGCAGAGGACUCUGUGCACCUCGCUGUCUGGAAGUCAGAAAUGUAGACCUGCACUACUUAAGAACAUACAAGAAGUUUAUGCGAUCCACCAGGGCGCAUGCCUUGCUGCAAACCAACGUCCCUACUGAAUGGAACUGAUUUAAAAGAACUGAAUUUAGUAUUUUUUUGUAAUGUUUUGUAAAAAAUAAUAAUAAUAAUAAUAAUAAUAAUCGUUGUAAAUUUUUAUUUCUAUUUUCUUUAAACUGGAAGAAACAUUACAAUGUAAUGCAUUUCACUCUAAAAAUACGUUUUGUUUUAAAAUGAACUCUUCUAAUAUGGGCACUACUUAAAAUUGACACGGAGGCCUCUCUGGAACGCAAAUGCUGUUACGCACCCGCAGCAGCACUUGCCCCUGUGUAAUACCCCCUUGUGUUUUCCCCUUUCCGUUACUGCACCAGCCUCCUUUCCAGCGCUAAGACAUGUGUGAUAAAGGGGAAGGAGAAAAAGGCAAGCGGAGGAGUGGAGCUAAUUUUUUUAUGUGUUGGAUAAACUACGCUGUGUUCUGAUAAAGAAAAUUAAUGCAACCUUCAUUGUUGGACCCCUUGCAUCGUCCCCGAGUCAUUACAAAUACAACCUUACAUGUGUAGGCGGCAUCCUUUAUUACCCAUAUCGUGUGUCGUGUAGUGAGAGAAUUGUAUCUCUGUAAUUUGAUCCAUUGUGAAUUCAUACUUAUUCAUGUAGUGUUUCCGGGAGGCGCGCCCAAGGAUCGGAACUGAAAUGAAAUACCUGUCAAGAAGGCGCACGUCGGCAUUUUCUAUUGGCUGCGAGUCUCAAAGUGGGAAAUUCAAAUAUAUCGCAGAGUGCCUCCAUGCAUUAUCAGACCUGAGAGAAGAGGCUGCGGAGACGGCUGCGUGCCCGGGUUGAUAACAGAAGUGUACUCAGGAAGCUAUGAAAAAGCUGCUGUUCCUACAAGUUUGCCUGCAUAGUAAGUUACUGAAACAGUUAAAUUGUAUUUUAAUUUCUGACCAAUUUGCCCCAGAACUGCAGAGUACAGAUUAAAAUGAAAAAUGAUUGCCCGUGAGACAGUGUUUUCCGACAGUCUGAAACUCGCUGUCUAACCCGACUCUCAUCUUCUCUGCUGUUUUCUGACAGGUGGAAUGGGUGGCAUAAUUAGUCAGUAUUUAAAUGAGAAACCUGUAUGUUAAUGACGCAAACCACAGUUUAUACAUGAUUUGAGGAUUUCAAUCAAUGGACAGGUGGGGUUGAAGGGUAGUGAAGGCGGAGCGUGUUUCAGGAGAAACAAGAGAAGAUACAUUUAAUAGAACAGAAUUAUAAAGCUAGUACAGCAGGACAAAGAAAAAAAUAUUUAGAGAACUCAUUUGAAUAUAUAUUUUAUUAAAUUAUAGAUUCGGUUACGCAGGAUAUUUUAUGACGAAAUGAAAAAUAAGUAAAUCCAUAAAUGAAUACAUAAAUAUAGAAAU